UACGUCAGCGGCGAGACGGGUGAGUAACGCGUGGGAACGUACCUUUUGGUUCGGAACAACACAGGGAAACUUGUGCUAAUACCGGAUAAGCCCUUACGGGGAAAGAUUUAUCGCCGAAAGAUCGGCCCGCGUCUGAUUAGCUAGUUGGUGAGGUAACGGCUCACCAAGGCGACGAUCAGUAGCUGGUCUGAGAGGAUGAUCAGCCACAUUGGGACUGAGACACGGCCCAA
rnacentral:rRNA from 1 species